GCUGUCAUUUACACACGUCAAAAAUGGAGGAGGAACGUCUCUUCGAUGAAAGAGUUUCAAUUCGAGAUUCAGCUCGCCCACUUAAAAAAUAUGGAAGUACUUGUAACCACAUGAAAAGGAACGAAGAAUAUAUCAAGCAUGUGAUGUCAAAAGGCGAUACCCUGCAAGGGCUCGCGCUCAAAUAUGGUGUUACCAUGGAGAAAAUUAGGCGGGCGAAUCGUUUAUUUGCAACGGACAGUUUGUUUUUACGGGAGUACUUAUUGAUUCCCGUCACCAAAGAUUCUCCUUUCUACGAGAAUGGUGAGCGUGUGACGGAGUUGCCUCCACCAAAUCAUCGUGCAUCUAUCGCGGGCAUGCCCACUGGGGAUUUCUCCCCAGGCAGUCCAGACGAGAAGAAAAGCUUUGACGAGUUCCUCAAUAGACUGGACUCCUCACUGGCUGAUAUUAAGAAGCAUGUUGAGAAAACCAAGGAAACUAGCGAAUUUGUGAAAGACCUGGAGGAUGGUUUCGUCCGUCACCGGCCGACGGCGCGGCUCCGGCAGUCUGCGUCCAUGGGUGCGUCUACUUCGUACAAUGAAGUGAUACCGCCUCCGUUGCCUCCGCCGCCGGUGGGUCUCACCCAGGGUAGGCGGGUGGAUACCUCCCUCAGGCGUCUGGAGCGCACUCAUGAUGACCUCUUCCAAUUGUAGCGGCCGAGGCAGCGCAGGUAUGCGCGGUUACAAUGAACGCGAUGAACCUGCGCUGUGCUGACGCCACAGCGGUCGGUCGUCCACGGUCACGGCAGCGGUCGUGUCGCGCGAUCGUGUCGCAGAUCGCAGUCGCACUGAACACUCAAGUACAGUCGGAGGUGGCGCCACUGUCGAAUAAAGUCUUCUCAAUCAAGUCUAAAGCCAAUUUUUUAAGGUAUUUCAAUUUGACCUGACAUAUUUUAAUUUAUUUUAUCAUAGUACCUGUCUGUCAUUUUCUAAGUGAAGAUAGCAUAUUUUUAUAGAAGUGCUUUUUAAUUAAUGGUAGACUUAUUCUACACUAGCGCCCUCCGCGGUUAGUUUAAGUACGACAGUUCUCAGUAGUUCCAGAAACAGUAGCAUCUUAACAUGAUUUUCCACGGGGCGAGGUAUUAAACGAGUAUGCAUAUUUUAGUAAUGAUUUUACACUGUAUUAAUAAGCGUAUAAAAAUCAAAUUUGCUAAUCAACCAAGAUUUAAUAAGUUGUUGUAAGCAGCAAUGCUAUAGAGUUCAAUCUUGUUUGACGAAUUUGCGUGAUUAUUCAUACGAGCACCGUGGGAAAUUAGCUUUUAAAAUAAAUUCAAUAUCGAAUCUAAAGUAGGUUGCAGAUAUUUUUAAAUAUUGUGAAUGCCGUCUCAUUCAUAGCAUAAUGAAAAGAAAUAAUAUGUUUAUGCACUAUAUCUAACUACAUUUCUGAAGUAUCUACUUUUUAUUUCUUUAUUAAUUUUCAAAUGUUUCGCAGCUUGUAUUUUACGAAACAGUUUUAUUUUCUUAAUUUUUUUUUUAGUUCUUUUAAAUAGGGUAAAGUUAUUUAUUUGGUUUUUAAUACAGUAAACGAUGGAGAAAAUUUUGUAAAAUACACUACACACGGUUAUUAUAUUGUACUGUUAUUACUGGUGCUAAUAUUAUUUGACGUUAUUAAACUUCAGUUAUUAAAAAAAUUACGAACUUUUGUCUCUAAAUUAAUUGUGUAAUAACAAGAAAAUCAAUAUUAAAAUAUAAAUAAAUAUACUCUUCUGGCCUCUUGUAAUAUUUAUUUUAAAAUAUGUAAUAAAAAGUUUCUAGUCUUGUAUACGUCAUCGGGGUUCUUAAAAUGCAGCCAGUUACGCUUCGCUUAUUUUGAAAAUAGAAUCUAAGCUUCUAACUUCUGCGUAUGUUGAAGACCUCUUUUAUCUUUUGAAUGAAGAAAUAAAGAGCUAUGGCGUGUUUUGGGAACCUCUAAAUAAAUAAAUAUCGAAUAUAACAAAGUUUAAAAUGUUAUGAUAGAAUCCUUUGAGUUAUGAAUGUGAUUUUCCAAUAAAAUCCACAUAUUAAUGAUAUAAUUAUAGCAAAAUUUGGACGUCUAGCAUAGGUCAUUGUAAAUUUUUGUAUAAAGUCGUUGUUUAGUGUGUCAAAAUUGUAUAAUAGCGAACAAUUUGUUAAAACUUUCAUUUGCCGAUUAGUGUAUGCUUUUUAUUAUCAACUUCUUUUUAUUUAUUUAUGCUAGUUAAGCUUUAAUAAAUCAUAUUUUAUUACUCGUUU